GUAGUCUUAACACAAGAACAAGAUUUAUGCAACAACGACGGGCUUCUUCCUUGUCAACAUUCACCAUCAAGCGAAUGACGGCAGAAGGAGCAUGGAUGCCAGCAGUUGGCAAUGUUGCUACAGUGAUGUGUUUUGCUAUAUGCUUAAUUUUGAAUGUCAAUCUCACAGGUGGUUCGAACUACGCUAUAUUUUUUCUGGCUCCAAUCUUACUGCUUUUAAACCAGGACUCAGAUUUUGUUGCUGG
rnacentral:misc_RNA from 1 species